rnacentral:rRNA from 1 species
CAAUGGGCGCAAGCCUGAUCCAGCAAUGCCGCGUGCAGGAAGAAGGCCUUCGGGUUGUAAACUGCUUUUGUACGGAACGAAACGGUCUGGGUUAAUACCCUGGACUAAUGACGGUACCGUAAGAAUAAGCACCGGCUAACUACGUGCCAGCAGCCGCGGUAAUACGUAGGGUGCAAGCGUUAAUCGGAAUUACUGGGCGUAAAGCGUGCGCAGGCGGUUUUGUAAGACAGGCGUGAAAUCCCCGGGCUCAACCUGGGAAUUGCGCUUGUAACUGCAAGGCUGGAGUGCGGCAGAGGGGGAUGGAAUUCCGCGUGUAGCAGUGAAAUGCGUAGAUAUGCGGAGGAACACCGGUGGCGAAGGCAAUCCCCUGGGCCUGCACUGACGCUCAUGCACGAAAGCGUGGGGAGCAAACAGGAUUAGAUACCCUGGUAGUCCACGCCCUAAACGAUGUCAACUGGUUGUUGGGAAUUUACUUUCUCAGUAACGAAGCUAACG